UACGUAGGGGGCUAGCGUUGUCCGGAAUCAUUGGGCGUAAAGCGCGCGUAGGCGGCCCGGUAAGUCCGUUGUAAAAGUCAAAGGCUCAACCUUUGAAAGCCGAUGGAUACUGCCGGGCUAGAAUCCGGAAGAGGCGAGUGGAAUUCCUGGUGUAGCGGUGGAAUGCGCAGAUAUCAGGAGGAACACCAAUAGCGAAGGCAGCUCGCUGGGACGGUAUUGACGCUGAGGCGCGAAAGCGUGGGGAGCAAACAGG
rnacentral:rRNA from 1 species